AAAGAUGAAGACUUUGAAGGAGCCAAGUAACUGAGGAGCCAGAUCCAACCCUCGAGGACAGCAGGGAGAUUGAGGAGGAGAUAAGUGCUGGCCCCAGUGGAUCAUCCGUGGUUCCCAGCACUAGUGCCCACUCCCAACCACAGCCUGGAAAAAGUCUCCAGAGGCCAGCUGAAGAUGGACCGAGUCAGUCCCCCUCCUCAAUUCUAGAAGAGCUGUCCCCUAGGCCAAGAAUAAAAAACAAGAGGCCACGAAAGAGGGCAUGUGAAUCUUCAGCUGUGCUGACCUCCUCGCCAUAUAAAAAAUGUUGGAGGACAAGAUAGCUUACAAAACAA